AUAUGCACAGCUCAUGCUAGAGAAUAUAAGAAUGGAGUAGCGCAGGAACUCGAUCUUGAUCUGGUCUAUAAAAGGGCUGGCCAUAAGUCUAUAAUGUCAUAUGAUUAAGUAAGAGCUGUAGGAAACUUUACUCUUCCAUGGCCUAGAUAUUUCGUUAGGAGUACAGUUUUCUCCAAUAUCUUUGUCUUUAGCGCUGUCUGGAUCAACAGCGACUGCUUAGAUUUUGCACGCAGUGUAUUGCUAGCCAUCACAAACACUGAAUGUUGCAGUUAGCCAUAGUUGGAUGAACAGCUGAUCCUGUCUGAAGAACCUUGGAAGCUGAAUGUGUGAUUUGGAUGAAACCAAAUCUUCAGGAACAGUUGAAGAUGAGAUAUUGAACGAAGAUUUUAUUUCUUUUUGUCCAAUAUCUCAUUUUCAACUAUCCCUGAUGAUACCCACAACAUCUUUGAGUCAAGCUAUAGGUGAAUCUGAUUUUCUUUGGUUUUUGGUCAUCGUGUUAUCUCCUCAAUCACUAAAUCACUAAGCUCAAAUCGCUUGGGAAUCGAUUGAGGCCAACGAUUUCGUGCUGGUUCCCCGAUUUUGAGCGAUCUCUUCUGGUCGUAGUUGGGGGCUCUCGGCUCUCGGUGUCCGCGACGCCGCCGCAACAGCAGCCGAAACAGCCAGAAGGCCAACACGGAGCCCCGCCGCCUCCCCGUCCUCUGCUCCGCCUCCAUUUCCGCCACCGCACGCCGCCUCUCCGUCCUCUGCUCCGCCUCCCGUAUUUCUCCCCACAUCCCCUCCGCCUCCCGUCCCAGUGCCCCAGCCGCCUUUCCAUCUCCAAUCCCCGGCCAUUUUCCGAGUAGGUAAGGACUGGGCAGAGGUGGCGCCGGUGGAAGGACAGGAAGGUCGAAACGGAGAGAGAGGCGCAGAUGAUGGUGGCAGCCUCGCAAUGGGUCGUCUUCCUCUAGCCUCCUUCGUCCCCUCAAGAUCCAUCCCGGGCUGACGCAGCCAAGAUCCCCUCAAGACCCCCGUUCGAUUUCUCCAAGUCUGUCCGCUCGCCCACCGCCGCCUCAUCGGUCAAAUUAUUGCCUCUUUCCCCUUUAUCCGCGUCUGGUGAGUCCGUCAAAUCAUUGCCUCUUUCCCCUCUAUCCGCGUCUGGUGUUGCUGUUCUGUGCUGCGUGUGGGUCGCGCUCUGCUCUGUGUGGUUUACUUGCAUCCGCUGCCAUGUGAGAGAUUGAGAGGUGAGAGAGGCCACGGCUGGGAUGGGGAUCACUAAUUAGUCGCCAAUAUGAGUUGUAUGUUGUCGCUGCUCUGAUCUGUGUUGCUGCUUGGGUGAAGAAAAAAGGGGAUAGUGUUUCUGCCUGGACCUCGAGAUAAUGAUGUUGCUGCUGUAGAAAGAUUGUUGUUGCUUAUAUAGAACAAAGUAUGCGGCUGCUUCUUAUUAGAUUUUUUUUUCCUUUUGCAGUUAUUAAUGCACUGGAUUUUGUUGUUGUUGCUUAUGUGUAGUUAUUGUGACUGUGUUUCUAUGGAUUGUUGUGAUGGGUUAAUCUUUUGCAUGUAAGGCAAACACAAUAGAACCUGGCAUUGCUGAAUCUAUCCAUUACAUUUUCUUAGAUAUUUUGCUCAUUAUUUAUGCUUUUGUUUACAGAUUCAGAUCAAAUGUAUGAAUCAGCAACCACUGAACAUCAUGUAAGAAUCAACACAUUACAGAAUGCAAAUGUACAGAUUAGUCCGUGUGUUCUUUCAAAAAAAUUAAUGCUGGCUUUAGUUGCUCUGUACAAGUCUAAUGAUGAACUCAGUGUCCUUGAUUUUGAAAGAUACUUGGAAAGUGUUUUUUUACGGCAACACUUUGAUUGUUAACAAUUUAUCCAGAUAAUGGAUACAAGUAGUCACUUGGUUAACCAGCUUCAACUACCUGGCUCAAAAGAUAUAUGGGGCAUGCUGAUUGCAAGCUGAAACAUUGCUUGUGUCCAAGCUCUCAACUCUACAAGCAUGCAUGUCCUCCAUGAUUGUUACCCUUGUGUACUCAUGCUUGCUGGCUGGAAACUUCUACAUGCACAAGAAGAAAGAAAAUAAGUCAAAGCACGAAUAAAGGACUGCCAGGGAUGCCCAGCUGUAAGUACCAUGCACACACGUAUGUGACAAUGUUUUUUCCAGUUCUUAUCACUGAAUUUUGCUGUAUGAUGGUUCUUAAAUGAAACAUGAACAUCUUAUCCCUGACAGUUAAAGCUGGCACCUUGAUUAUAUCAUGAAGUUUUUAUAAUUAUUCUAUAUAACCUGUGUGGCGCGGCGCCUGGUUUGACAGAAACUGAUGGAGAUGGGGUCUUUUUGCAGAACCAUUGGAACCGUGAUCUAAGAAUUUUUAAAUGCGGUGCGAUGGGGCUUACCAUUUCCUUCAAGUACACAUUAAUAUUGUGUCACAUGAUUUAUAGCCUGAUUAACCCUACAACUUUUGUAGUACAAAUUAAUUCUCCUGAAUAUGCUUUCCGUACAUUUUGAAACCAUUCUUUCUUAUUGUUGUUCAAAUGGCAGUUAGUAGGUUAACAUGAUUGGCUCUAGAGUCUGCCUUACCAGACUCUUUUUUAGGCAGUCUAUGAUGUCAUUUGACACAAUCUAAUACCAUGGUUAAGAAAAGAGCCCCCCUUACACAAGAUACAAACAACUAUGUCAUAACUCAUAACCAUCCACUGAAUGUUAGUUAUAUUUUUCCAGUCCAAAAUAUUGAUGUAAAUACUGAUGUUAGCAUGUAAAGCAUCAGGAUGCAACUACAUUCAAAUAUUCAGGCCAUUUUCAGUUAUAACCAUUUCAGGAUGCAACUACAUUCAAAUAUUCAGGAGGCAACUACAUUCAAAUAUUUAGGGCCUGUUCGGAGUCUCACCACUACAGAACUCCACUCCCGGAGCGGGGGUAGCUUCAGCUGAAGAUAAAGGAGCGGGGAAACGCCCACUCCGCAGAUCCUUGUAUUUUUUGGAGCCGGCGGACUACCGAACAGGGCCUUACUUUGUAUGUUAAUUUAUUAUAAGUGAGUGUAUUUUGGUAUUUCCUUUGGUUGAUAAUUUGAUCGGGUUAUGGCUGAUUCUUGCAUGUCCAGAUUUUUUUACUGUUGGCUUAAGGAUAUAUAUGGUUUGCAACCGAUGGAUUUCGGGCUGGAGCUUUGAGGAGCCAGUCAUACUAUUAUUUCUCCUCAAAUAUAGUGAAUUUGUUCGCUUAUAAGGUUGCAUGUUCAAGGCAUUUCUCUUUUAAUCUCUCAUAGUGGCAUUGUAUACAAAUAUUAAGAGAAGUUGGAAAUUGCCAUGCCAAAGUCCCUAAUUUCAGUUUAUAAUAUUUACUUUAUCAUAUCUUGCUCAGUUGUUAACCAAAUCUAUGUGCUUUUAUGUUAACGUUCUGUAUAUAUAUAGACAAUAGACCUUCCGAUCCAAAAUAAGCGUCAGUUUUGAAUUCCAGGCUCGCAAUACAAUGAAUAGGACUUGACUUGCAUCUCUCUGUGCACAAUGGCGUAGCCUGAUAAAUCUGUCUCACUGCACACUCUUCACAAGGAAGACGGCAAAGUUUACUACCGGGCACCUUAGGGAUUUCUAGUAUUUUGACAUUCAAGUAUCACCGAUAGUUGCAGUGGUCUAUUGAUAUUCUUAUGUUCUGUUGAAUGUUUAAAUGCUAGAAAGUAAAUAGGAUAUCUACUGUUUCAUUUUGGUGAUUUACUUACAACUGCAUGUUGAUGUGGCUCACCUGAGCUAACUCAACAUGUGCAGCCGUGCAUGUUGGGCCCUGUGAUAUCGUGAUGGCUGCAAUCAAUUUGUCCUGUGUACAUGUUGAUUUUGUUUGAAAUUAGUUUACAUUGAUGGAGCACCGCGCAAGCUGCUAAUAAUUGUAUUUCAAACGGUCAGCUCCCCGGCACGGUGAAGUGCGCACCUUCCUGUAGCAUAUUAGUAAAAGAGGUGGAUGGUGGUGAUGAUUUUAUUCUUAGAGACUUUCCUUUGGCAAUUUUUUUAGUUCAGACUCCAUUUAUGUUUGCUUGACACAGUUUCAUUGAUUGG